rnacentral:rRNA from 1 species
CCUACGGGUGGCAGCAGUGAGGAAUAUUGGUCAAUGGGCGCGAGCCUGAACCAGCCACGUCGCGUGAAGGAUGACGGCCCUACGGGUUGAAAACUUCUUUUAUAAAGGAAUAAAGUGAGGCACGUGUGCCUUUUUGUAUGUACUUUAUGAAUACGGAUCGGCUAACUCCGUGCCAGCAGCCGCGGUAAUCCGGAGGAUCCGAGCGUUAUCCGGAUGUAUGGGGGUUAAAGGGAGCGUAGAUGGGGUGUUAAGCCAGGUGUGAAAGUUUGCGGCUCAACCGUAAAAUUGCACUUGUUACUGGAAGUCUUGAGUACAGUUGAGGCAGGCGGAAUUCGUGGUGUAGCGGUGAAAUGCUUAGAUAUCACGAAGAACUCCGAUUGCGAAGGCAGCUUACUAAACUGUGACUGACAUUGAGGCUCGAAAGUGUGGGUAUCAAACAGGAUUAGAUACCCCAGUAGUC